GACGAACCGUACGAACGUUAUUCGGAAUUACUGGGCUUAAAGGGUGCGUAGGCGGCGCGGAAAGUAGGGUGUGAAAUCCCUCGGCUCAACCGAGGAACUGCGCUCUAAACUACCGUGCUCGAGGGAGAUAGAGGUGAGCGGAACUGAGGGUGGAGCGGUGAAAUGCGUUGAUAUCCUCAGGAACACCGGUGGCGAAAGCGGCUCACUGGAUCUCUUCUGACGCUGAGGCACGAAAGCGUGGGGAGCGAACAGG
rnacentral:rRNA from 1 species